UCUCCAAACAUGCAGCCCUUGUGGGGUGUUCCUCGUCUGCAGUGGUCAGUACCUAAGUGGUCCAAAAAAGGAAAAGCGGUGACCUGGCAAGGCUAGUUGAGGUAACCUCGCCUAGACAGGUCAGGGCUGUUUGGCGGCAAAAGGGGGACCCACACAAUAUUAGGAAGCAGCGUUACUGCAUUCCCAGAUCUCAAUACAUAACUUGACUGACAGCUCGGGAAUCCUGAUGAGCUGUGCCCUCUAUGCAUUUGUCAACGCUGAGCACCACGCUGCCUGCAAACACAAUAACACUGCGCCACUACAGGCAUACACAGGGGGAAUUGGACAGAUGACCUUGCUCAGUGCUCAUACGGCGUAAACCUGAGCACAAUGAGAGAUCAGCUGGUUAUUCAGGUGUAAAAUGACCAACUGACCCCCCUGCUUGGAUCUUCAUUUUCUUAGCCUUUAGUGCUGGAUGACCCCAGAAUGUUAGCAUGAGGUUACCACUUUCACUGUCUGCUUUCAAGGUAUCCCGAUUGUGAAUUUACUCACGGUUAAGUUGCUUGAGUGAAGUUGUUUCUUCAAAAUAUAUUUAGCAUUUUCUCAUUUCAUUCCACCUUCCUCUCCAUUCUAUCUUCUUUCUCUCUGUUCUGAUGGCUAUAUGAAUGUCUUAUUGGCUGUUCUCCAGCAGCUCUGCUUCUCCUCCCUAAACUUGAAUCUAAUAGGAUACAGGGCUUUUCCACUGAUUGGGUUGGUAGAGAAUAAAAUUGGCUCUUAACUGUACCUCAGUGCUGAGCGGCACCCUAAUCCAGCCACCGCGGGCUGCCGGGCUCCGUUGUUCUCCCUCAGCUCUCCCGUAUGCUCCGAUACGGAUCUGAUCCCCUGCACAAUUUCAUGCCUGCUUUGCCCUCUUCUCCUGCAGCAAAGCAUCAAUUACCCUCAUAAAACAAAUUCUGCCCCCUUCAGAAGCUUCAGCCAAACGUGCCCCCCCACCUCGCAUACUCCCAUAUCUCCACAACCACAACUCUCUUUAAACUUUGAGCUUGUUGAGCAACUCUCAAGCCCUUCUUAAACGUAUACUUGUUUGAACAUCACAAAAAUAAAUGUUCAAGAUUAAAAAGAAGGUAACAACUUCAAGAAAUACCCACUAUCCACUCACACAAAUCUGAUGCACUGAUGCGCAUCUACACAAAUACCCUUGAGGUAAGGAGAGUUUUGUUUUUUCUCUUCACAAAUAUAAGCGGGAAGCAUUAAGUUUCAAUUCAUGGCUAGGAAACCAGACUGUGCAGCAGGGCGGCUCACUUAUUCCCUGACCCUUGACUUCCAUCUCUGCCAGGCUAAUCCCAGGUUAAUGACUGAGCCAAAGAACAUCAGGAGGGGACAUAAGAGUCAUCUUAAACCACACAACCACAUACACAUUCAUGGACUGGAGCAGAACCACUGUACUUAUACCGUCUAUUAAAAUAAUAUAAAACAAACAGUUUUCAGAACCUGAUGGAAAAAAGUACCUAUUUAUAAGAUAAUUUCAUAGUACCAGUAUAAACAAUGGAAAAACACAAGUAAAUGUCAUGCAGUCAUAUUACAGAUGUAUUAUCAGCAAAAUGUUCUUAAAGUAGUCCUCCUUCUGCAGAAAAAUGUCCCCUGUGACUGAUACAUGACAUUAUCAGAUUGUUAAUACCAAAGUCCUUAUAGGUGUCUUCUAUAAAACAUCUCUGUUAAUACUGAUGCAUCAGUGUGUAAGCAGAAUUUUACUGUUGUGGCUGGUCGAGGUGGAGCUACUUUUAACUACUGUGUAGUUUUGUCCAGUGGUUCCCAACCCGGUGGUCAGGUCCCUCAAAAGGGUCACAAGAUAAAUCUGAAGAGUUGUGAGAUAAAUGAUGGGGUAUUAACGGGGUGUUGAUGGGACAGUGGAUAAAACACAUGCCUU